AGGACGAACGCUGGCGGCGUGCUUCAUACAUGCAAGUCGAACGAUAAGGUCUCUUCGGAGAUACAUAAGUGGCGGACGGGUGAGUAAAAUGUAGAGAAUCUGCCCUAGAGUGGGGGACAACAGUUGGAAACGACUGCUAAUACCGCAUAUGAGCGUAGCUGAAAUGCUAUUCUUGAAAACUCCGGUGCUCUGGGAUGAGUCUGCAUCUGAUUAGCUAGUUGGGGGUGUAAUGGACCACCAAGGCGACGAUCAGUAGCUGGUUUGAGAGGAUGAUCAGCCACAAUGGGACUGAGACACGGCCCAUACUCCUACGGGAGGCAGCAGUAGGGAAUUUUGCGCAAUGGGGGAAACCCUGACGGCCAGCAACGCCGCGUGACCGAUGAAGCCCUUCGGGGUGUAAAGGUCUGUCAGUGGGGACGAAACUUGACGGUACCCACAGAGGAAGCAUCGGCUAACUCCGUGCCAGCCGCAGC
rnacentral:rRNA from 1 species